rnacentral:rRNA from 1 species
AAGAGACAGCAGUAGCCACGGUAACACCGAGGGUGCGAGCGUUAAUCGGAUUUACUGGGCGUAAAGCGUGCGUAGGCGGCUUCUUAAGUCGGAUGUGAAAUCCCUGAGCUUAACUUAGGAAUUGCAUUCGAUACUGGGAAGCUAGAGUAUGGGAGAGGAUGGUAGAAUUCCAGGUGUAGCGGUGAAAUGCGUAGAGAUCUGGAGGAAUACCGAUGGCGAAGGCAGCCAUCUGGCCUAAUACUGACGCUGAGGUACGAAAGCAUGGGGAGCAAACAGGAUUAGAUACCCCUGUAGUCCCUGUCUCUUAUAC